CGUACACGGUGGAUGCCCUGGCAGUCAGAGGCGAUGAAGGACGUGCUAAUCUGCGAAAAGCGUCGGUAAGGUGAUAUGAACCGUUAUAACCGGCGAUGUCCGAAUGGGGAAACCCAGUGUGAUUCGUCACACUAUCGUUAACUGAAUACAUAGGUUAACGAGGCGAACCGGGGGAACUGAAACAUCUAAGUACCCCGAGGAAAAGAAAUCAACCGAGAUUCCCCCAGUAGCGGCGAGCGAACGGGGAGCAGCCCAG
rnacentral:rRNA from 1 species